AUGGAGGCAAACAAAAUACCUGAGGUGGGAAAAGAAUUAACCUAUGCAGUAUUCCCAUCAAAAUUUGUACGGAAAAGUGACUCCAAAACUUGGGAGGAGCGGAAAAGGGGCUUUGCGAUUGGAAGAAUUUACUAUGCACACACUGCAAGUGGUGACCGGUAUUAUAUGAGAAUGCUUCUAAACACCAAGAAAGGAUGCACAUCAUUUGAGGAUAUUAGAACAGUUAAUGGAGUAGUUCACCCAGCAUACAAAAUAGCAUGUCAAGCGCUUGGAUUUCUUGAUGACGAUAGUGAGUGGAUUGAAUGCAUCAAUGAAGUAUCAAGCUGGGGAUCAGGGAUACGAUUACGACAGCUAUUCACCACAAUAUUAUGCCAUUGUGAGGUGACCAUCCCAAAAGUGUUGUGGGAUUCAACAUGGGAGGCACUAUCUGAAGAUAUCCAGUACAAAAGAAGAAUAAUCCUAAACUUUCCUACGCUGCAUCUAACUAAUUCACAGAAAAAAUCAUAUGCUCUGAUCGAGAUAGAGAAACUAAUGAGGCAAGCUAGAAAGACACUAAAGGACUAUCCAGGCAUAGAACUACCAAAUGCUACUGAACUUGAACAACUUGGGAACAGAAUGAUAAAUGAAGAACUUAGCUACGACACGGAAGCACUAAAGAUUGAGCACCAAACCAUAGUUAGCAAUCUUAACCAUAGCCAGAAAAUGGCCUUUGAUGCCAUAAUGGAAUCAACUAACAGAGAGCAUGGAAAACAGAUAUUUGUAGAGGGCUACGAUGGCACAGGCAAAACUUAUCUAUGGAAAGCAAUCACGACGAAGCUACGAUCAGAGGGGAAAAUAGUGCUUGCAGUAGCAUCAUCUGGCAUUGCAGCAUUGCUCCUCCAAUGUGGAAGAACAGCGCACUCAAGAUUCCACAUUCCAAUAAAUAUCACAGAAGAAUCAACAUGUGAAAUAAAACAAGGCUCACAUUUGGCUGAACUAGUAAAGAGGACCUCAUUGAUACUGUGGGACGAGGCUCCUAUGGCACACAAACACUGCUUCGAGGCACUAGACAAAAGCCUUAGGGAUAUUCUAAGGUUCCAAAACCAAAACAGUGACGAAAGGCCAUUUGGUGGCAUGACAGUUGUGCUAGGAGGCGACUUCAGACAAAUACUUCCAGUGGAUACAAAGGGAAAGAGAGAGCAGAUAGUAAAUGCCUCAGUCAAAAGGUCAUACCUAUGGAAGCACUUCGAAAUAUUUAGACUAACUGAAAACAUGCGGCUGAAGUGCCUGUCAGAAGAUCCAAUACAAAAGCAAAAUGUGGCUGAAUUUGCAGAAUGGAUAUUACAAAUUGGCGAUGGAAAACAAACAAACGAUGAAGGAGAUGAUUGGGUAAAAAUUCCUAAAGACAUAAUUCUGCAAAAAGGAGAAGACCCGAAAGAAGCGAUAGUGAAAAGCACGUACCCAAACUUGCACCAAAACUAUCGUGACCGUGAAUUUCUUGAAGAAAGAGCAAUACUAUGUCCAAGGAAUGAAACAGUUGAGAAGAUAAAUGACUACGUAAUGAGCCAAAUACAAGGUGAAGAGGUGACAUACCUAAGCUUGGACACUGUAUGCAAGGCAACAACAAAGUACAACACAACGGAGAAUAUGUGUCCAACAGAGUUCCUUAACAAAUUGACCUUCCCAGGAAUUCCAAACCACGAGCUAAAACUGAAGGUAGGCUUGCCGGUUAUGCUCCUACACAACAUCAAUCAAGCGGCAGGUUUAUGCAAUGGUACAAGAAUGACUGUCACACAGCUGGGAAACAGGUACAUUGAGGCACAAAUAAUCACAGGAACACACGUCGGUGACAAGGUAUACAUACCUAAAAUCAUUAUGUCACCAAGCGACUCAAAGUGGCCCUUCGUGCUGAAAAGAAGGCAAUAUCCUAUAUCAGUUUGUUUUGCAAUGACCAUAAAUAAAAGCCAAGGUCAAUCCCUAAACAAGGUGGGUCUAUAUUUGCCUAAGCAAGUAUUCUGCCAUGGCCAACUAUAUGUGGCAUUAUCAAGAGUCACAAACAGAGAAGGAUUAAAGGUGCUGAUUGACGACACGGAGUGCCCAAGCGAAGAUAGCGCAAAGAAUAUAGUAUACAAAGAGAUCUUCUAA
rnacentral:rRNA from 1 species